rnacentral:rRNA from 1 species
UACGUAGGGUGCGAGCGUUAAUCGGAAUUACUGGGCGUAAAGCGUGCGCAGGCGGUUCGUUAAGUCAGAUGUGAAAGCCCCGGGCUCAACCUGGGAACUGCAUUUGAAACUGGCGGGCUUGAGUAUGGCAGAGGGGGGUGGAAUUCCGCGUGUAGCAGUGAAAUGCGUAGAGAUGCGGAGGAACACCGAUGGCGAAGGCAGCUCGCUGGGACGGUACUGACGCUGAGGCGCGAAAGCGUGGGGAGCAAACAGG